rnacentral:sRNA from 1 species
GCUGGGCAUGGCAGUGCAUGCCUGUAAUGCCAGCAACUAGGGAGGCUGAGGCAGGAGGAUAGCAAGUUCCAGGAUAGCCUUGGCAACUUAGCAAGACCCUGUCUCAA